UACGUAGGGUCCGAGCGUUGUCCGGAAUUAUUGGGCGUAAAGGGCUCGUAGGCGGUUGGUCACGUCGGGAGUGAAAACUCAGGGCUCAACCCUGAGCGUGCUUCCGAUACGGGCCGACUAGAGGUAUGCAGGGGAGAACGGAAUUCCUGGUGUAGCGGUGAAAUGCGCAGAUAUCAGGAGGAACACCGAUGGCGAAGGCAGGUCUCUGGGCAUUAACUGACACUGAGGAGCGAAAGCAUGGGGAGCGAACAGG
rnacentral:rRNA from 1 species